GGUGGGACCAGAGAGGGCGAGGCCGCGGGCGCGCUCCCUGCGGCCUUCGGAUUGGCUGCGCGGCCAGACUAACCCGCCUCUCGGGAGGCGCGGCCGGGGGACUGCGCAGGCGCACUGCGUCCGUGAAACCCCUGCCCUUUCUUCCUCCCCCCCCCCCUUUGCCUUUUCCGGGGCGCCCUGCUGAUUGCUGGGAUCCUCUGCUCCUCCUCAGUCUUCUGUUGUGGAGCUAAGGAUGUUGGCUCAGCGACGUGCGUGGGUGGCCACGCGUCCCUGUGUAUGUGUAGUUCGUAGAUGUGAGAGAAUGGAGUGCACCAUGGCCAUUCAAGAACCUCCUUACUAAAACCAGACGUCUCCAGAAGGGCCCUUGCUUGUGAGCCCGUCGUGGCAUCGCGGUCUCCUCAAGGAGCUAGAGUUCGAAGGAGCCGGAAUUCCAAAUUGAAAGAUCGCAGCGCUUCUGGGAUCGGAAUGAUGUCAUCGGCCUGAGGAACCCCGGGUGCGGGGAGAACCUCCCUGCGAAUGGAAUCUUCGCUGCUCCAGGCCUAAACAGUCUUGGAAUCCCCUCGAGCUGGAGCGCUCUAGACAAGAGAAGGCGGGGCCCGGUCACUGUUGCCAAAGUUGUACCACUAAGUCGAAAAUGCAAAAGCCUGCCCCAUCCCAACCGAUCUCGUCUUUGCUUUUCACUUGUUUGUAGGGACUUCCUGGAGGAAGGUUUUCUUUAGACUGACCUGAUUGCCAAGAGGCCACCACAGUUCUCACCAAGCCUGCCUCCCAUUGGCAGUUGGCACUGAAGAGACGACAGGCCCAGGACAUAUAUGAAAAACUCAACUCCACUGAAAGGCUUGUUUAUCCUGUAAACAUGAUCAAUGGUAAGGCUAAUCAGGUAGCUGUGAUUCAGCAGAAUGUAUUGAACUUGCAGCCAGAUAACAUGUAUUUCAGAACUAGCUACAGUGCCUGGCUCUGUAAUAAGGACGACUCAUUUAACCUCAUUCAGCCUAUUCUGCUUAUGUACCAAAGGGCAUUUUACUCACAAUGGUUCCAAAAUUAAAUAAGAUGAUGCCUGUUAAUAUGCUUUGUAUAGCCAGAAGAGUAUGCAAAGGUAAGUUUUUCUGUUAUAUUAAGAAGCAAUGAGUUCUACCAUAAGAGAAAGAGCAAAAACAUUACACAUUAGAAAACAUAAAUGAUGGGCCAGUGGUGGUGAUGUUGGCACACACUUUUAAUUCCAGCCCUCUAGAGGCAGAGGCAGGAGGAUCUCUGUGAG